rnacentral:rRNA from 1 species
AUUGAACGCUGGCGGCAGGCCUAACACAUGCAAGUCGAGCGGCAGCGGAAAGUAGCUUGCUACUUUGCCGGCGAGCGGCGGACGGGUGAGUAAUGUCUGGGAAACUGCCCGAUGGAGGGGGAUAACUACUGGAAACGGUAGCUAAUACCGCAUAACGUCGCAAGACCAAAGAGGGGGACCUUCGGGCCUCUUGCCAUCGGAUGUGCCCAGAUGGGAUUAGCUAGUAGGUGGGGUAACGGCUCACCUAGGCGACGAUCCCUAGCUGGUCUGAGAGGAUGACCAGCCACACUGGAACUGAGACACGGUCCAGACUCCUACGGGAGGCAGCAGUGGGGAAUAUUGCACAAUGGGCGCAAGCCUGAUGCAGCCAUGCCGCGUGUAUGAAGAAGGCCUUCGGGUUGUAAAGUACUUUCAGCGGGGAGGAAGGUGUUGAGGUUAAUAACCUCAGCAAUUGACGUUACCCGCAGAAGAAGCACCGGCUAACUCCGUGCCAGCCGCCGCCGUAAGAC